rnacentral:tRNA from 2 species
GCGGGCAUCGUAUAAUGGCUAUUACCUAAGCCUUCCAAGCUUAUGAUGCGGGUUCGAUUCCCGCUGCCCGCUCCA